rnacentral:tRNA from 1 species
GUGCCUAUGGUGUAGUGGUUAGCACAGGAACCUGUGGAGUUCCCGGGAUGGGUUCGAAUCCCAUUAGGCACC